UACAGAGGUCUCAAGCGUUGUUCGGAUUCAUUGGGCGUAAAGGGUGCGUAGGUGGCGCCGUAAGUCGGGGUGUGAAAUUUCGGAGCUUAACUCCGAAACUGCAUUCGAUACUGCGGUGCUUGAGGACUGGAGAGGAGACUGGAAUUCAUGGUGUAGCAGUGAAAUGCGUAGAGAUCGGGAGGAACACCAGAGGCGAAGGCGGCUAGCUGGAUAGGCACUGACACUCAACUACGAAAGCGUGGGGGAGCAA
rnacentral:rRNA from 1 species